rnacentral:rRNA from 1 species
UACCAGCUCUCCGAGUGGUAGGGAUGAUUAUUGGGCUUAAAGCGUCCGUAGCCGGCUUAGCAAGUUUCCUGUUAAACUCAGCGACCUAAUCGUUGAGCCGCGGGAAAUACUACUAGGCUAGGAGGCGGGAGAGGUCGACGGUACUUCUGGGGUAGGGGUGAAAUCCUAUAAUCCCGGGAGGACCACCAGUGGCGAAGGCCGUCGACUAGAACGCGCUCGACGGUGAGGGACGAAAGCUGGGGGAGCGAACCGGAUUAGAUACCCGGGUAGUCCCAGCUGUAAACUAUGCGGGCUAGGUGUUGGGGUGGCUACGGGCCACUUCAGUGCCGCAGGAAAGCCAUUAAGCCCGCCGCCUGGGGAGUACGGCCGCAAGGCUGAAACUUAAAGGAAUUGGCGGGGAGCACCACAAGGCGUGAAGCUUGCGGUUC